CUUUAGACAAGGGGGGAGGGAAGACGGAGGAGAGGCGGAGGGGUAUUGUGCGUGGCUGCAAGCCGCUACAUCAGUGAGGGAUUUUUUUUUCUGAGCGCCUGAACAAAGAGAUGGAAGCUAUUUUACCUGCGGAGGAGGAGGAGGAGGAGGAGGAGGAGAGGCUCUCAGCACUGAUGUUUGGAAGAAGAGACAACAGACAGUGGUACAAGACAGACGCUUUUGCACACAAGCGCUGAUGUACACAAACGCCGCCGUAUACAGCGGAGAAGUGGCUCCAUCUUACCAAAACAGCGAGAAUAGUGCCACGCAGCAGCGGUAAUUGGACAGAGGUUGCUAUGGAAACAAGAGAAACGGUUGCCUGAUGGUUGGAGCUUUGCUCUGGGAACGUCUUGUUGAGGAGCUGGAUGCAGAUACAGAAGAAUUCUUCAAAAGAGCGAUCAUGGGUGAAGAACAUUGGAUGGAAGUCAUGGCAGUUCUCACUUGCUGCAAAAAAGAGAAAACCAAACCAUCACCGACAGCAGCGGCCAAAA